rnacentral:rRNA from 1 species
AACCGAGUCUUAAUUGGGCGUUAAGUUGCAGGGUAUAGACCCGAAACCCGGUGAUCUAGCCAUGGGCAGGUUGAAGGUUGGGUAACACUAACUGGAGGACCGAACCGACUAAUGUUGAAAAAUUAGCGGAUGACCUGUGGCUGGGGGUGAAAGGCCAAUCAAACCGGGAGAUAGCUGGUUCUCCCCGAAAGCUAUUUAGGUAGCGCCUCGUGAAUUCAUCUCCGGGGGUAGAGCACUGUUUCGGCUAGGGGGCCAUCCCGGCUUACCAACCCGAUGCAAACUGCGAAUACCGGAGAAUGUUAUCACGGGAGACACACGGCGGGUGCUAACGUCCGUCGUGAAGAGGGAAACAACCCAGACCGCCAGCUAAGGUCCCAAAGUCAUGGUUAAGUGGGAAACGAUGUGGGAAGGCCCAGACAGCCAGGAUGUUGGCUUAGAAGCAGCCAUCAUUUAAAGAAAGCGUAAUAGCUCACUGGUCGAGUCGGCCUGCGCGGAAGAUGUAACGGGGCUAAACCAUGCACCGAAGCUGCGGCAGCGACGCUGAUGCGUUGUUGGGUAGGGGAGCGUUCUGUAAGCCUGCGAAGGUGGCCUGUGAGGGUUGCUGGAGGUAUCAGAAGUGCGAAUGCUGACAUAAGUAACGAUAAAGCGGGUGAAAAGCCCGCUCGCCGGAAGACCAAGGGUUCCUGUCCAACGUUAAUCGGGGCAGGGUGAGUCGACCCCUAAGGCGAGGCCGAAAGGCGUAGUCGAUGGGAAACGGGUUAAUAUUCCCGUACUUGGUGUUACUGCGAAGGGGGGACGGAGAAGGCUAUGUUGGCCGGGCGACGGUUGUCCCGGUUUAAGCGUGUAGGCUGGUUUUCCAGGCAAAUCCGGAAAAUCAAGGCUGAGGCGUGACGACGAGGCACUACGGUGCUGAAGCAACAAAUGCCCUGCUUCCAGGAAAAGCCUCUAAGCAUCAGGUAACAUCAAAUCGUACCCCAAACCGACACAGGUGGUCAGGUAGAGAAUACCAAGGCGCUUGAGAGAACUCGGGUGAAGGAACUAGGCAAAAUGGUGCCGUAACUUCGGGAGAAGGCACGCUGACACGUAGGUGAAGUGAUUUACUCAUGGAGCUGAAGUCAGUCGAAGAUACCAGCUGGCUGCAACUGUUUAUUAAAAACACAGCACUGUGCAAACACGAAAGUGGACGUAUACGGUGUGACGCCUGCCCGGUGCCGGAAGGUUAAUUGAUGGGGUCAGCGCAAGCGAAGCUCCUGAUCGAAGCCCCGGUAAACGGCGGCCGUAACUAUAACGGUCCUAAGGUAGCGAAAUUCCUUGUCGGGUAAGUUCCGACCUGCACGAAUGGCGUAAUGAUGGCCAGGCUGUCUCCACCCGAGACUCAGUGAAAUUGAACUCGCUGUGAAGAUGCAGUGUACCCGCGGCAAGACGGAAAGACCCCGUGAACCUUUACUAUAGCUUGACACUGAACAUUGAGCCUUGAUGUGUAGGAUAGGUGGGAGGCUUUGAAGUGUGGACGCCAGUCUGCAUGGAGCCGACCUUGAAAUACCACCCUUUAAUGUUUGAUGUUCUAACGUGGACCCGUGAUCCGGGUUGCGGACAGUGUCUGGUGGGUAGUUUGACUGGGGCGGUCUCCUCCUAAAGAGUAACGGAGGAGCACGAAGGUUGGCUAAUCCUGGUCGGACAUCAGGAGGUUAGUGCAAUGGCAUAAGCCAGCUUGACUGCGAGCGUGACGGCGCGAGCAGGUGCGAAAGCAGGUCAUAGUGAUCCGGUGGUUCUGAAUGGAAGGGCCAUCGCUCAACGGAUAAAAGGUACUCCGGGGAUAACAGGCUGAUACCGCCCAAGAGUUCAUAUCGACGGCGGUGUUUGGCACCUCGAUGUCGGCUCAUCACAUCCUGGGGCUGAAGUAGGUCCCAAGGGUAUGGCUGUUCGCCAUUUAAAGUGGUACGCGAGCUGGGUUUAGAACGUCGUGAGACAGUUCGGUCCCUAUCUGCCGUGGGCGCUGGAGAACUGAGGGGGGCUGCUCCUAGUACGAGAGGACCGGAGUGGACGCAUCACUGGUGUUCGGGUUGUCAUGCCAAUGGCACUGCCCGGUAGCUAAAUGCGGAAGAGAUAAGUGCUGAAAGCAUCUAAGCACGAAACUUGCCCCGA